rnacentral:misc_RNA from 1 species
UAUGGAACCACCGUUUGUGUGCUCCGUGCAUUACGUCGAAGGCAAAUACGCCCUCUAAUCGGUGUGGUUCUUGCACGCAUCGGUGGGGCUUGAUAGAAAUUCAAG